AAUCACCUGCACCUGUUUACCUGAAUGCUCAGGUGUUCUAGCCUUUUGCUGCUCUUGUCCAAGCUACUUUGUGUUGCAGGAAUCAAAUUCAGAAUGAGAUACAACCUAAAGCAUUCACCUACAUCUGCUGUGUGUAGCCACCACGUGUAGCCUGUAUCCAACCCUCGUUAUGCCCAUUAUGCAUAAAUACAUCCGCCAAACAGUUUGAAACGUAUCACUUUCCGGCUGUUCAAUACGGCUUGUUCCUGGAGCGCCGUCAUCAAUCGAGAAUGGGGAGAUGCACCACAAAGGUCAUGGACAUGGAUUUCCUUUGGUUUGACUCAAUGAAAAGGUCAGAUGAGGGCACCAUAAAAUGGCAGCGAGGCCUUCACAUCGCCCUCACAGGGACCACAAUCCUUACAUCACCCUGAAAUGGCACAGGCUGAGCCCUUUGGGGGCCGUUCUCACCAGAACCGGGAAGAUCCCGUGGGCACCCGUGACCUCGUCUGCCCCAACCCCCCCCCCCCCUUUAGCGUCACUUCGACAGUGUGCAGAGCAAAACUUUUAGGAAUGCAGUGUGGAAGAAAUUAAAGUGCAUUUGUCUUCCUGUGACUGAACAUAUUUCAUUCAAAAGAUUAUGGAAAUCGUUCUUUACCCACUUUUCCAGUACUGUAUGCAUUUAAGUGUGUGUGAGUAAAACUGGUCUCCCUAAAAAUAUUUCAGGGUUGCUGUGCAUUUUUCUCCUCCACCCAAAAGCUACAUCUAGGACAGCUGCGUCUCUGCUUGUAGAGCAGUUCAACUUUAUUUUCACACUAACAACAUCUAUACUGCUCAUGCUGUUUUGUCUUUACUUUUCAUCCAUGUUCUGAUA